rnacentral:rRNA from 1 species
UACGUAGGGGGCAAGCGUUGUCCGGAAUCAUUGGGCGUAAAGAGCGUGUAGGCGGCCAGAUAAGUCCGCUGUGAAAACUCGAGGCUCAACUUCGAGCUGUCGGUGGAAACUAUUUGGCUAGAGUCCGGAAGAGGUGGGUGGAAUUCCUAGUGUAGAGGUGAAAUUCGUAGAUAUUAGGAAGAACACCGGUGGCGAAGGCGGCCCACUGGUCCGGUACUGACGCUGAGGUGCGAAAGCGUGGGGAGCAAACAGG